AGNUUAAACGCUGGCGGCAGGCCUAACACAUGCAAGUCGAGCGGUAGAGAGGUGCUUGCAUCUCUUGAGAGCGGCGGACGGGUGAGUGAUGCCUAGGAAUCUGCCUAGUGGUGGGGGAUAACGUUCGGAAACGGACGCUAAUACCGCAUACGUCCUACGGGAGAAANCGGGGGAUCUUCGGACCUCGCGCCAUUAGAUGAGCCUAGGUCGGAUUAGCUAGUUGGUGAGGUAAUGGCUCACCAAGGCGACGAUCCGUAACUGGUCUGAGAGGAUGAUCAGUCACACUGGAACUGAGACACGGUCCAGACUCCUACGGGAGGCAGCAGUGGGGAAUAUUGGACAAUGGGCGAAAGCCUGAUCCAGCCAUGCCGCGUGUGUGAAGAAGGUCUUCGGAUUGUAAAGCACUUUAAGUUGGGAGGAAGGGUAGUAACCUAAUACGUUGCUACUUUGACGUUACCGACAGAAUAAGCACCGGCUAACUUCGUG
rnacentral:rRNA from 1 species